CUCUCAAACAGAAAAUAGACUACGUUAACAUUUUUCUGUAUCUAUGGAAAAUCAAGCAAACCUAUAAAGUUACAAGCUGAUGUUUGGGUUAACAUUUUUCUGUAUCUAUGGAAAAUCAAGCAUACCUAUAAAGUUACAAGCUGAUGUUUGGUAAAUCUCGGUGAAGUCAGCUAUUUAUAUUUAUUGAGCUUCUAUUUGAUCAGGCUCUGUGUAAUAACCUGCAUUCAACACUAAUCGAACAUAGCCUUUUCAUAUUGACAAUGCGUAAGUGAACACCCUCAGUAUAAUUUAUAAGUGCAUGUUUAGAUUUUCGAUUUGGUAUUUGAAUAGUAUGGAUUCAAUAUGAGCCCGCGCAGAUCCUCAAUAACUUCAAGAUCAAAUUGGUUUGGACUUGUGUUUAGUUCAUGGAUGGAUAUAGAUCAUGAGGCUUGAAUCCAUGGGAUAGAUCACGAGGUUUGAAUCAAUAAGUAUCAACAUUUUUUCCUACAUCAAUAAUUUCUCAUGGGAAGAUUCUGGCUGCUGCCUGCCUUGAUGUUAGAUUUUCAGAUGGGUUUUUACACCUUUCUUCAUCCAUCGUUCCCUCACACUACUUUGGAUAUUGAAGGUUGAAGAGUGGAACAAGAGCUGGUAGCCUGAAUGGUACAAGUUGAUGGUAUAAAAACCAUGGGUUCGACCCAAACAUGUCGGGGCUGAAUGGUUUGCUUGGCUCAAUUUUAACAAACUAGCUUUUGAUGUUUUGAUAUUACUGAAAUGGUCCGUUUGAAUCGUAGAUAUUGUUUCAUGUGUAUAAAUAUUACAAAUAUGAGAUUCAAAUGUCUAAGUUUUAAAUGUUUAGAAAAUUAAUGUUCGUGUUUGGACAUGCAGGAUAAUUAAUGUAUGAGAAUUAAGUGUGUUUGUUUUACAGGUUUUUAUGUAUUGAAAUUUGCAUGUUUUGUAGAAUAUGUUUACGAAGUUAACCAAAAUUUAAAGAUGUGUUCGUAUGAGGUUUUCAAAUAAAUGUGUUUUGUGAAGUUGAACUUGUGU
rnacentral:lncRNA from 1 species